rnacentral:rRNA from 1 species
CAUGUAGGCGGCUUAAUAAGUCGAGCGUGAAAAUGCGGGGCUCAACCCCGUAUGGCGCUGGAAACUGUUAGGCUUGAGUGCGGUAGGGGAGACUGGAAUUCCCGGUGUAACGGUGGAAUGUGUAGAUAUCGGGAAGAACACCAAUGGCGAAGGCAGGUCUCUGGGCCGUCACUGACGCUGAGGAGCGAAAGCGUGGGGAGCGAACA